rnacentral:rRNA from 1 species
GACGAACGCUGGCGGCGUGCUUAACACAUGCAAGUCGAGCGGAGCGGCGAACGGGUGAGUAACGCGUGAGUAACUGCCCCCCUCUCUGGGAUAACAGUUGGAAACGGCUGCUAAUACCGGAUAGUGGGGGAUGCCUCGCUGCCUAUCAGCUUGUUGGUGGGGUAUGUGCCUACCAAUGGGACGGCGGGUAGCCGGCCUGAGAGGGCGACCGGCCACAGUGGGCUGAGAUACGGCCCAAACUCCGACGGGAGGCAGCAGUGGGGAAUAUUGCACAAUGGGUGAAACCCGGAUGAAGCAACGCCGCGUGCGGGAUGACGGCCUUCGGGUUGUAAACCGCUUUCAGCCAUGACGCGGUAGUGGCAGAAGAAGCACCGGCUAACUACGUGCCAGCAGCCGCGGUAAUUC